AACCCCUGGGCGGAGUGAAAGCGAAAGUGCGUUUGACGCACCGAGGUGAGAGCGGGUGCGAGCUCGCCUGCGCAUCAUCGACCGAUCCGCACCACUUGUGGUGGGAUUUGAGUGAGAGUGUGCCUGUUGCGACCCGAAAGAUGGUGAACUAUGCCCGAACAGGGUGAAGCCAGGGGAAACCCUGGUGGAAGCCCGAAGCGAUUCUGACGUGCAAAUCGAUCGUCUGAUUUGGGUAUAGGGGCGAAAGACUAAUCGAACCAUCUAGUAGCUGGUUCCCUCNGAAGUUUCCCUCAGGAUAGCUGGAACCCGUGUGUGCAGUUUUAUCAGGUAAAGCGAAUGAUUAGAGGUCUUGGGGUUGAAACAACCUCAACCUAUUCUCAAACUUUAAAUAGGUAAGACGUCCGACUUGCUUGAGUGAAGCCGGACCUCGAAUGCAGGGUUCCUAGUGGGCCAUUUUUGGUAAGCAGAACUGGCGAUGCGGGAUGAACCGAAAGCGGGGUUAAGGUGCCAAAGUCGACGCUCAUCAGACCCCACAAA
rnacentral:rRNA from 1 species